rnacentral:rRNA from 1 species
AUUGAACGCUGGCGGCAGGCUUAACACAUGCAAGUCGAGCGAGUGGCGGACGGGUGAGUAAUGUCUGGGAAUCUGCCUGAUGGAGGGGGAUAACUACUGGAAACGGUAGCUAAUACCGCAUACUAUCAGAUGUGCCCAGAGGGGAUUAGCUAGUAGGUGGGGUAAUGGCUCACCUAGGCGACGAUCUCUAGCUGGUCUGAGAGGAUGACCAGCCACACUGGAACUGAGACACGGGCCAGACUCCUACGGGAGGCAGCAGUGGGGAAUAUUGCACAAUGGGCGCAAGCCUGAUGCAGCCAUGCCGCGUGUAUGAAGAAGGCCUUAGGGUUGUAAAGUACUUUCAGCGAGGAGGCGUUACCCGCAGAAGAAGCACCGGCUAACUCCGUGCCAGCAGCCGCGGUAAUAC